CGAAAAAGCAUGCUAUUUCCUGCUGGAUUUGAAUCUGUAGCUGAUGCUGGAGACCAACUUGUCACAGUUUGACUGGGACUUUGUUGGCUUUAAAACUGAAAGUCCCAUGUCUGGGGAACCCCCUAACUCCUGGGCAAACUAGAGCAGUUGGUCAGCCCCAGGUGAUGUGAGGGCUGGAGUUGCUGCAGCCACAUGGUUAGCACUGGAAAUCUGACAAUGAAACCAGCACAAAGGAAACAGAGCUGAUAGGUGGAGAGAAGAAGCCAGUUCCUGGUCACAUCUUCAAACUCCUUGUUCUCUUUUUUGCUUAACCCAGGUUAAGCUGGAUUUCCUGACACUUGUAACAAAAUGUGUGCUCACCAGUAGAUCAGUUGUGUGAUAUUGCACAAGUCUCUUAAUCUCGCUGAGCCUCAGUUACUGCCUCUGUAAAACUGGAAUAAUACUUUCUGAAGAUUAAAUGAGAACAGUAUCAAGUCUCUGCUUCAAGGCCCAGCAUGAAGAAACUGCCCAAAAAGAAAAAACAACCUGCCAAGCUGUUUUCCAGAGUGUCUGUACCCUUUGGCAUUCCCACCAGCAAUGUGUGAGUGUGCCAGUUCCUCUGCAUCCUCACCAUCAUUUUUGGUGUUGUCACUAUUCUUUAUUUCAGCCAUUCUUAUAGACAUAUAGCGAUAUGUCAUUGCAGUGUUAAUUUGUAUUUCCCUAAUAG
rnacentral:lncRNA from 1 species